rnacentral:lncRNA from 7 species
GUAUCAGUUCAUAUGCUUUGCAUGCCUGUUUGUAGAUGAGAGGAAUCUCCCCAGAGGAAAAUAGAAAGAAGAUUGCAAAAAGCUGCAGGUGACGAAGUGUUCCUCAUUCAGGGGUAGAGCUGGGUGGUGUGUGAGGAGGAAAAGAAGGGAAGCUGAGGGAGGCACAGCAAUGGGUUCCAUGUACUCUUGGAUACUUGCUGAUACCAGACACGAGUGACCCACCCUGGGAGCAGGCACAGUUGUUUUGGUUCCCAUGCUGCUCAUGUCCAGGGAAAUGACCCUACAGGGUCUCCUCCACUUUCCACGUGGCUCAUAGCAGCACCAAGCAUAAAACGAGGAGAGAAUGAACAAAUUCAGCCAGACCAGACCAGAGGAUCAGGACCAGUCCCUCCUGGUGACAGCCCUUUUCCCUACCUGCUACAAGGACUAGGCCAUGUUAAGUUCACCAGUAUACUAAAGCAUAUUUAUAGCCAGAAGGAAGACUUACUUCUGCCCUGGGGAGCCGUUGUUUCCUUCUACUGAUGCACUCAAGUGGUACAGGUUGAAGGCGUGUAUGAGGCACAGCAGGGGAAGAAGCAGUAGGGAAAUAGCAUCUCACAUCUCACACCCAGGGUGAAGAGUUUAUAGUGAAAGCUCUGUAAUCUCUUGUCCACUGUGUCUGGGCAAAGAAAAGAGUGGAAAUUAAUUUAAUGGGAGAUGCCAACUAAAUCACCACAAUGAAAAAAAUAUAGGAAACUGCAUUAGAGAGGAUGGCUGUGCUGCAAGCAAUUUCUGGUGAUGCCACUCAGCAGGGAAGAACUGUAGCAAAGGACCUCUGUGUGUCUCCCUUCCUUGGUGGUUGCCCCCCAUAAGCGCUAACGACCUACCCGUCAGCUGCCAGGCCCUGCGUGACCACCCUUCUCAUCUCAGCCACCAGCUGAUCCCCAGUCACUCCGCUGAGGUGAGAGUUCAACACCAGAGGUUAAGGAUAAUAAGAGCGCCGGCAUCCAUGGGGAGUUCAGCUCAUGUACAAAGUCAUAAUUAUAUGAGCCAUUACCACUGUCCAGGUGAAAUGAUAUCGCUGCAAGCAGGGAUAGAAAACAUUUGCAAAGAUGAGCUUAGGAAGCAAGGCUGGGAAAUAUCUGUCUUUCUCCAAUGGAUGCACUGUGGCUUUACAUGGGCUAUAAAAUGAGGGUUGUUUGGCUAUUCAAGUAGAAACCUGUUAAACGCAUAACCUUUUUUCAACAAACUCUACAUCUUUUAGUGAGUCUGUUCUUUCAACAGGUAUUGAUUUGAGCAGCCUUGGCUAUCUUUAUUAAGUGCAUUUUAGGUGCACAGAAAACACCACGGAGCAUUUCAAAUCCCCAGUACGUCGCACAGAGGCAGUGUUUGUAAUACACUGCUCACUGCUUCCAUGAGCUGGACAACCCUCAUACACUAUGGGCCAAAUCGUACCCUUGGAUGAGUAUGCCUGAUUCCCACUGCUGUCAGUGUUGCUGUCAUUGAAAUCUGUGGGAGUUCAGCUUGUGCAUCCAAAGGGAAAUCUGGCCUAAAAUCUAUUGUGCUCAUACUCCUCCUCCUUUGAUAUUUCUUGUUUGCCCGACUCUCUCUCUUCCUCGUCAAGGUAAAAUAAAGGCUUUUUAAAAUGUG